rnacentral:rRNA from 1 species
AGAGUUUGAUCCUGGCUCAGGAUGAACGCUAGCUGGAGGCUUAAUACAUGCAAGUCGAGCGGGAUUGGUAGCAAUACCAUGAGAGCGGCGCACGGGUGAGUAACGCGUACACGACCUACCUCUGACAGGGGGAUAGCCCUGGGAAACUGGGAUUAAUACCGCAUAUUAUUCUGAUUAAUAAAGGAUUGGAAUGAAAGCUGAGGCGGUCAGAGAUGGGUGUGCGUCUGAUUAGCUAGUUGGUAGGGUAACGGCCUACCAAGGCGAUGAUCAGUAGGGGGCGUGAGAGCGUGGUCCCCCACACGGGUACUGAGACACGGACCCGACUCCUACGGGAGGCAGCAGUAAGGAAUAUUGGUCAAUGGGCGAAAGCCUGAACCAGCCAUCCAGCGUGCAGGAAGAAGGCCCUAUGGGUUGUAAACUGCUUUUAUCAGGGAAGAAACCUCUGGAUUCACUCCGGAGCUGACGGUACCUGAAGAAUAAGCACCGGCUAACUCCGUGCCAGCAGCCGCGGUAAUACGGAGGGUGCAAGCGUUAUCCGGAAUCACUGGGUUUAAAGGGUGCGUAGGCGGCGCAGUAAGUCAGGGGUGAAAGGCUCCCGCUCAACGGGAGGACUGCCUUUGAUACUGCUGUGCUUGAAUCAGGUUGAGGGCAGCGGAAUGUGGCAUGUAGCGGUGAAAUGCAUAGAUAUGCCAUAGAACACCGAUUGCGAAGGCAGCUGCCUGGGCCUGGAUUGACGCUGAGGCACGAAAGCGUGGGGAGCGAACAGGAUUAGAUACCCCGGUAGU